rnacentral:rRNA from 1 species
GACGAACGCUGGCGGCGUGCUUAACACAUGCAAGUCGAACGGAAAGGCCCUGCUUGCAGGGUACUCGAGUGGCGAACGGGUGAGUAACACGUGGGUGAUCUGCCCUGCACUUCGGGAUAAGCCUGGGAAACUGGGUCUAAUACCGGAUAGGAGCCAUUUUUAGUGUGAUGGUUGGAAAGUUUUUUCGGUGUAGGAUGAGCUCGCGGCCUAUCAGCUUGUUGGUGGGGUAAUGGCCUACCAAGGCGGCGACGGGUAGCCGGCCUGAGAGGGUGGACGGCCACAUUGGGACUGAGAGACGGCCCAGACUCCUACGGGAGGCAGCAGUGGGGAAUAUUGCACAAGGGGCGCAAGCCUGAUGCAGCGACGCCGCGUGGGGGAUGACGGCCUUCGGGUUGUAAACUACUUUCGCUAGGGACGAAGCUUUUUGUGACGGUACCUAGAUAAGAAGCACCGGCUAACUACGUG